GCGGUCGUGGCGGAACGGUAGACGCGCUAGCUUGAGGUGCUAGUAGGGCAACCUGUGGAAGUUCGAGUCUUCUCGACCGCACCA
rnacentral:tRNA from 1 species